AUAUUCCAUGUUAAUCUUUUUUAGAUCAAUCUUGAUCAUGUCUUAAUUGAGAGUAUUGAGAUCCUAAUACUAAUUAAUAAUUAAUUGAGUUCAAAUAGAAAUAAAAUAUAUUUUUUUAUCACUUUCAUAUCUUCUUCAUACACUUUGUACAACUUCUUUAUACACUUAUUUCACUUAUAUUCUUUUACGCAUUCUAAUGCUC
rnacentral:lncRNA from 1 species